UACGUAGGGUGCGAGCGUUAAUCGGAAUUACUGGGCGUAAAGCGUGCGCAGGCGGUUCGUUAAGUCAGCUGUGAAAGCCCCGGGCUUAACCUGGGAAUGGCGGUUGAAACUGGCGAACUUGAAUCUGGCAGAGGGGGUGGAAUUCCACGUGUAGCAGUGAAAUGCGUAGAGAUGUGGAGGAACACCGAUGGCGAAGGCAGCCCCCUGGGCUGAGAUUGACGCUCAGGCACGAAAGCGUGGGGAGCAAACAGG
rnacentral:rRNA from 1 species